GUGGGGAAUAUUGGACAAUGGGCGAAAGCCUGAUCCAGCCAUGCCGCGUGUGUGAAGAAGGUCUUCGGAUUGUAAAGCACUUUAAGUUGGGAGGAAGGGCAGUAAGUUAAUACCUUGCUGUUUUGACGUUACCGACAGAAUAAGCACCGGCUAACUUCGUGCCAGCAGCCGCGGUAAUACGACGGGUGCAAGCGUUAAUCGGAAUUACUGGGCGUACAGCGCGCGUAGGUGGUUUUGUAAGUUGGAGGUGAAAUCUCCGGGCUCAACCUGGGAUCUGCCUCAAAAACUGCAUGGCUAGAGUACGGUAGAGGGUAGUGGAAUUUCCUGUGUAGCGGUGAAAUGCGUAGAUAUAGGAAGGAACACCAGUGGCGAAGGCGACUACCUGGACUGAUACUGACACUGAGGUGCGAAAGCGUGGGGAGCAAACAGGAUUAGAAACCCUGGUAGUCC
rnacentral:rRNA from 1 species